rnacentral:rRNA from 1 species
GACGAACGCUGGCGGCGUGCCUAACACAUGCAAGUCGAACGGAAAGGCCCUGCUUUUGUGGGGUGCUCGAGUGGCGAACGGGUGAGUAACACGUGAGUAACCUGCCCUUGACUUUGGGAUAACUUCAGGAAACUGGGGCUAAUACCGGAUAGGAGCUCCUGCUGCAUGGUGGGGGUUGGAAAGUUUCGGCGGUUGGGGAUGGACUCGCGGCUUAUCAGCUUGUUGGUGGGGUAGUGGCUUACCAAGGCUUUGACGGGUAGCCGGCCUGAGAGGGUGACCGGCCACAUUGGGACUGAGAUACGGCCCAGACUCCUACGGGAGGCAGCAGUGGGGAAUAUUGCACAAUGGGCGGAAGCCUGAUGCAGCAACGCCGCGUGCGGGAUGACGGCCUUCGGGUUGUAAACCGCUUUCGCCUGUGACGAAGCGUGAGUGACGGUAAUGGGUAAAGAAGCACCGGCUAACUACGUGCCAGCAGCCGCGGUGAUACGUAGGGUGCGAGCGUUGUCCGGAUUUAUUGGGCGUAAAGGGCUCGUAGGUGGUUGAUCGCGUCGGAAGUGUAAUCUUGGGGCUUAACCCUGAGCGUGCUUUCGAUACGGGUUGACUUGAGGAAGGUAGGGGAGAAUGGAAUUCCUGGUGGAGCGGUGGAAUGCGCAGAUAUCAGGAGGAACACCAGUGGCGAAGGCGGUUCUCUGGGCCUUUCCUGACGCUGAGGAGCGAAAGCGUGGGGAGCGAACAGGCUUAGAUACCCUGGUAGUCCACGCUGUAAACGGUGGGUACUAGGUGUGGGGUCCAUUCCACGGGUUCCGUGCCGUAGCUAACGCUUUAAGUACCCCGCCUGGGGAGUACGGCCGCAAGGCUAAAACUCAAAGGAAUUGACGGGGCCCCGCACAAGCGGCGGAGCAUGCGGAUUAAUUCGAUGCAACGCGUAGAACCUUACCUGGGUUUGACAUGGAUCGGGAGUGCUCAGAGAUGGGUGUGCCUCUUUUGGGGUCGGUUCACAGGUGGUGCAUGGCUGUCGUCAGCUCGUGUCGUGAGAUGUUGGGUUAAGUCCCGCAACGAGCGCAACCCUUGUUCACUGUUGCCAGCACGUUAUGGUGGGGACUCAGUGGAGACCGCCGGGGUCAACUCGGAGGAAGGUGGGGAUGGCGUCAAGUCAUCAUGCCCCUUAUGUCCAGGGCUUCACGCAUGCUACAAUGGCUGGUACAGAGAGUGGCGAGCCUGUGAGGGUGAGCGAAUCUCGGAAAGCCGGUCUCAGUUCGGAUUGGGGUCUGCAACUCGACCUCAUGAAGUCGGAGUCGCUAGUAAUCGCAGAUCAGCAACGCUGCGGUGAAUACGUUCCCGGG